rnacentral:rRNA from 1 species
CAGCAGCCGCGGUAAUACGGAGGAUCCGAGCGUUAUCCGGAAUUAUUGGGUUUAAAGGGUGCGUAGGCGGCCAUUUAAGUCAGCGGUGAAAUUUUGCAGCUUAACUGUAACAGUGCCGUUGAUACUGUUUGGCUAGGAUUUGGUUGUAGUGUGCGGAAUGUGUGGUGUAGCGGUGAAAUGCUUAGAUAUCACACAGAACACCGAUUACGAAGGCAGCACACUAAGUCAUUAUUGACGCUGAGGCACGAAAGUGUGGGGAUCAAACAGGAUUAGAUACCCUGGUAGUCCACACUGUAAACGAUGAUAACUCGCUGUCGGCGAUACACAGUCGGUGGCCAAGCGAAAGCAUUAAGUUAUCCACCUGGGGAGUACGACCGCAAGGUUGAAACUCAAAGGAAUUGACGG